CAGCAGCCGCGGGAAAACGAGGGGAGCUAGCGUUAUUCGGAAUUACUGGGCGUAAAGCGCACGUAGGCGGCUUUGUAAGUUAGAGGUGAAAGCCCAGAGCUCAACUCUGGAAUUGCCUUUAAGACUGCAUCGCUUGAAUCCAGGAGAGGUGAGUGGAAUUCCGAGUGUAGAGGUGAAAUUCGUAGAUAUUAGCUAGAACACCAGUGGCGAAGGCGGCCAACUGGUCCGAUACUGACGCUGAGGUGCGAAAGCGUGGGGAGCAAACAGGAUUAGAUACCCGCGUAGUCCCUGUCUCUUAUAC
rnacentral:rRNA from 1 species